GAUCCUGGCUCAGGAUGAACGCUGGCGGCGUGCCUAACACAUGCAAGUCGAACGAUGAAACCGCCCCCUGGCGGACAUGAAGUGGCGAACGGGUGGGUAACACGUGACCGACCUGCCCCCCGCCCAGGGACAGCCCCCCGAAAGGGGGAUAAUACCUGGUACUCCGGAAGCGGCGCAUGCCGCCCCCGGGAAAGCUCCGGCGGCGGGGGAUGCGGUCGCGGCCCAUCAGGUAGACGGCGGGGCAGAGGCCCACCGUGCCGACGACGGGUAGCCGGG
rnacentral:rRNA from 1 species